rnacentral:tRNA from 1 species
GGGACUGUAACUCAGUGGUAGAGUAGCGGCCUUUGGGGAAGUAAUUCAAUUGGAAGAAAACGCGAAUGCAAGUUCGAAUCUUGCCUUCUCCACCAUAAGCCGUCUGUCGUGAGUUCAAAUCUCACCAGUCUCA